GGGGAAUAUUGGACAAUGGGGGCAACCCUGAUCCAGCAAUGCCGCGUGUGUGAAGAAGGUUUUCGGAUUGUAAAGCACUUUCGGCGGGGACGAUGAUGACGGUACCCGCAGAAGAAGCCCCGGCUAACUUCGUGCCAGCAGCCGCGGUAAUACGAAGGGGGCUAGCGUUGCUCGGAAUGACUGGGCGUAAAGGGCGUGUAGGCGGUUCGUACAGUCAGAUGUGAAAUCCCCGGGCUUAACCUGGGAGCUGCAUUUGAUACGUGCAGACUAGAGUGUGAGAGAGGGUUGUGGAAUUCCCAGUGUAGAGGUGAAAUUCG
rnacentral:rRNA from 1 species